rnacentral:lncRNA from 1 species
CCAAGCCUGCAGGGAUGUAGAGCUGUGCCCGGUGCUGGCACCGGGGUCACUAUGGGUUGGUGACAGCCCGCCCUGCCGGAUUUUCCAGUGAUUCAAUGGGUCCGGUGACACAGCCUGACUAAGGGGCCCAACGCCCGCACACGGCACAGCACCGGCUGUGAGUGCCUCCCGUCUGUCCCCCUGCAACCCCCACUGCCAUCUCAGGGGGUUUGGUGACCGUGGAGAUCAGAGCCCCUGAGAGCUUGGUGCCCUUCCUAUCACCUUGGUGUCCUUCCCAUUUUGGUGCCCUUUCCAUCAUCUUGGUGCCCUUCCCAUCUUGGCACCCUUCCCAUCAUCUUGGUGUCCUUCCCAUCUUGGUGUCCCCACUCGUGUGGUGUCUCUGUGAGCUUGGGGUCCCUUAUUAGUUUUGGGUCCCUUCAAGCUUGGUGUCCUUCUGAGCUUUGUGUCCCCGCUCCCUUGGUGUUCCUAUUAGCUUUGUGUUCCUUAAAGUCUUGGUGUCCCUUCAAACUUGAUUUCCCCAUUCAGUUGGUGACCCCACACUCACUUGACAUCCCUACAAGCUUGGGGUCCCUAUUAAUUUUGUGUCCCUCCUACCUUGAUGUCCCCACUCACUUGACAUCCCCACUCGAUGUCCCCACACGCACGGUGUCCCCUCUCAGCAUCCUCAUGAGCACACUGAGCUCACCUCUGCUCUUUCCUCCUCACCCCUCCUCACUCUCUGUCCCCAUCAUCCCCAUUCCCACCCCAUCCCGUCAUCACCCCACACCCUUGGGGUGCCCCCAGGUGUUGGGCACAGCCCCGUGCUCUGGCAGUGGGCACCGACCCCCCCAUAACUUAUGCAUGACAGUGGUUCCUGUAUUUAUUGAAGCCAUCAAAUUAAUUUAACGCAUCCCCGCCCUGGGGAUGAAUAUUUAAGUUUACACUUUUAAUAUAUAAAUGGAUAUCUAUUUUUGUUAAUUUUUUUUAUUGUAUUGUGUUAAAGUAUAAAUGUGAUGAUAUUUUAUUUAUGAAUGCAAAUAUUAUUUUGUACUGGAAGAAGGGACCAACCCUUUAUUUUUCUAUGGCAGCAGAUGGAAAUAAAGUCUUG